rnacentral:rRNA from 1 species
GACUACUGGGGUAUCUAAUCCUGUUUGCUCCCCACGCUUUCGAGCCUCAGCGUCAGUUAUCGUCCAGUAAGUCGCCUUCGCCACUGGUGUUCCUCCUAAUAUCUACGCAUUUCACCGCUACACUAGGAAUUCCACUUACCUCUCCGACACUCUAGUCCCAUAGUUUCCAAUGCAGUCCCAGGGUUGAGCCCUGGGCUUUCACACCAGACUUACAAGACCGCCUACACUCCCUUUACACCCAGUAAAUCCGGAUAACGCUUGCCCCCUACGUAUUACCGCGGCUGCUGGCACGUAGUUAGCCGGGGCUUCUUAGUCAGGUACCGUCAUUAUCUUCCCUGCUGAUAGAGCUUUACAUACCGAAAUACUUCUUCACUCACGCGGCGUCGCUGCAUCAGGGUUUCCCCCAUUGUGCAAUAUUCCCCACUGCAGCCCCCCGUAGG